rnacentral:lncRNA from 1 species
CACAUACCAACUCACAAACACAUCAACUUGAGAUGGUCCAGCGCAGAGCAGCAAGGUACACUUGCAACAGAUACCAUAACACAAGCUCAGUCACUGAAAUGCUGCAAACAUUAAAUUGGGCAACACUUGAGAAAAGGCGAAUUAGAACCCGCAUCAUUUUCUUCUACAAAAUUAUACAUCAUCUUGUAGCCAUAUACCCGACAGACCUACUUACACAAUCCGAUACAAGAACACGUCAACAUUCACAUAUUUAUUCUUUCAGACCAAUACAAACCACUAAAGACUCAUACAAGUACUCAUUCUACCCCAGAACAAUCUUACAAUGGAACCUUCUCCCAGUAGCUGCAGUUCAAUGUACUAUACUCUUGAAAGCUUCCGAGAACAAAUUCCAAUAUCUGUUCUCAAUAAACAUCUAAAAAUUUAAAUAAAUCCUACAAUGUAUAUAGUUUUAACCAAAAUGUAUAGUACAAAAACAAAAGAAAAAGAAAUUACGUUGAAUUUUUAUUUUUAUUUUUUUGUAUAUUAUUCACUGUAAAUAAAAAUUAGAUCCCAC